rnacentral:tRNA from 4 species
CGGGGUAUAGCUCAGUCUGGUAGAGCGCCAGCUUUGGGAGCUGGAUGUCGGGGGUUCGAAUCCCUCUACCCCGACCA